rnacentral:rRNA from 1 species
GUGGGGAAUAUUGGACAAUGGGGGGAACCCUGAUCCAGCCAUGCCGCGUGUGUGAAGAAGGCCUUUUGGUUGUAAAGCACUUUAAGCGAGGAGGAGGCUACCGAGAUUAAUACUCUUGGAUAGUGGACGUUACUCGCAGAAUAAGCACCGGCUAACUCUGUGCCAGCAGCCGCGGUAAUACAGAGGGUGCAAGCGUUAAUCGGAUUUACUGGGCGUAAAGCGCGCGUAGGUGGCCAAUUAAGUCAAAUGUGAAAUCCCCGAGCUUAACUUGGGAAUUGCAGUCGAUACUGGUUGGCUAGAGUAUGGGAGAGGAUGGUAGAAUUCCAGGUGUAGCGGUGAGAUGCGUAGAGAUCUGGAGGAAUACCGAUGGCGAAGGCAGCCAUCUGGCCUAAUACUGACACUGAGGUGCGAAAGCAUGGGGAGCAAACAGGAUUAGAUACCCUGGUAGUCC